AGUGAACGCUGGCGGUAGGCCUAACACAUGCAAGUCGAACGGCAGCACAGUAAGAGCUUGCUCUUACGGGUGGCGAGUGGCGGACGGGUGAGGAAUACAUCGGAAUCUACUUUUUCGUGGGGGAUAACGUAGGGAAACUUACGCUAAUACCGCAUACGACCUACGGUUGAAAGCAGGGGAUCUUCGCACCUUGCGCGAUUGAAUGAGCCGAUGUCGGAGUAGCUAGUUGGCGGGGUAAAGGCCCACCAAGGCGACGAUCCGUAGCCGGUCUGAGAGGAUGAUCGGCCACACUGGAACUGAGACACGGUCCAGACUCCUACGGGAGGCAGCAGUGGGGAAUAUUGGACAAUGGGCGCAAGCCUGAUCCAGCCAUACCGCGUGGGUGAAGAAGGCCUUCGGGUUGUAAAGCCCUUUUGUUGGGAAAGAAAAGCAGCAGGUUAAUACCCCGCUGUUCUGACGGUACCCAAAGAAUAAGCACCGGCUAACUUCGUG
rnacentral:rRNA from 1 species